GGGCAGGUGGCCGAGUGGUCGAAGGCGCACCCCUGCUAAGGGUGUGGGCGGGGAACCGUUCCGAGGGUUCGAAUCCCUUCCUGCCCGCCA
rnacentral:tRNA from 1 species